UUUCGCAAUGCCCGAAAGGGUGACGAAGCGACGCCGCGUGCGGGAAGAAGGCCUUCGGGUUGUAAACCGCUGUCGGGAGUUAAGAAAUGUAAGGAUGUUAAUAGCAUCUUUGCUUGACUAAGGCUCCGGAGGAAGCCACGGCUAACUCUGUGCCAGCAGCCGCGGUAAUACAGAGGCGGCAAGCGUUGUUCGGAAUUAUUGGGCGUAAAGGGCACGUAGGCGGCUAUGUAAGUCGGUUGUGAAAGCCUUCCGCUCAACGGGAGAACAGCAUCCGAUACUGCAUGGCUUGAGUGCGGGAGGGGAGAGUGGAACUUCUGGUGGAGCGGUGAAAUGCGUAGAUAUCAGAAGGAACGCCGGCGGCGAAAGCGGCUCUCUGGCCCAUAACUGACGCUGAGUGUGCGAAAGCUAGGGGAGCAAACGGGAUUAGAUACCCCGGUAGUCCUAGCCGUAAACGAUGGGCACUAAGUAGAGGGGUUUUA
rnacentral:rRNA from 3 species